rnacentral:piRNA from 1 species
UCUGCAUAGCCUGGUAUCCUAGAACUCC